rnacentral:lncRNA from 1 species
AAGGAAGGAAAUGGCGUAACUAUGAUGCACAAGUUACCGGAUAUUCUCAACCUCAGGCCUCUGAAUCAGAAACUCAACUCUGAGGAUAGGCUCAGCAACCUGUUUCAUGGAGCCCUCCAAGUAAUACCAAAGUCCGGGCAGGUUUGAGCUGUAUAUAAUAAUAAAAGUCUUGGAGUUCUCUUGUGGCGGCAGCGGGUUAAGGAUCCCCAAGGUUUCCGCGUUGUCAGUGCAGCGGCUUUCAUUACCGUGGCUCGGGUUUGAUCCCUGACUCAGCAACUUCCACAUGGCUCUGGCAAAAAAAAAAAACAAACAUAAAAGGUCUUUGUGGCUACAAAAGCGCUGAUUAGGUUAUGGCAGAACCCAUUGGAGAGGAGAAUGGUUUAUUUAAAACCCAUUUGGGGAGUUCCCGUCGUGGCGCAGUGGUUAACAAAUCCGACUAGGAACCAUGAGAACCAUGAGGUUGCGGGUUCGAUCCCUGGCCUUGCUCAGGAUCUGGGUUGCCGUGAGCUGUGGUGUAGGUCUGCUCGGAUCCCGCGUUGCUGUGGCUCUGGUGUAGGCUGGAGACUACAGCUCCCAUUCGACCCCUAGCCUGGGAACCUCCAUAUGCCGCGGGAAGCGGCCCUAGAAAAGGCAAAAAGACAAUAAAUUAAUUAAUUAAUUAAAACCCAUUUGGGGAAUUCCACUGUGGCGCCCUGGGUUAAGCAUCCAGCAUUGCCACAGUGCUGUGACAGGUUGCUGCAGCUGCAGCUCAGAUUUGAUCCCUGGCCCAGGUAUAUUCCAUAUUCCAAGGGUGUGGCAGGAAAAAACCCAAACCUCUUUUGUUAGCCCUUACCUGGUUUUCAUUACGUUAUGUAGGUUAAUAUCGCCUGAAGGGGAACAAGUUAUAAUCUUGGGUGAUAAGCAGAGUGGUGUGAAUACUUCCAUUUAUGUUUAAAAAGAAAUGUGCAUCAAGUGUGUAAUCUUAUGUGCUGUUUAUGGACUGAUAAACAAACCUGGAGAUUUGGAAUGAAAGCAAAAUGUUUUCACUGAUUAUGCUUUUUACUUUUUAAUCCUCUUUUUUCAUAGCAUAAAAGUUUUUUCCAAAUUAAAAAAUAUAUAUAGUUUAAAAAAGGGUAAAGGCCUGAGACACAGAGGCUAUAUGAAUGCCAGGAGAGAAUCUUCCCUGGAGGAUUGGGGUCUUGCUAGAACUUUAAGAAAGUCCUCCUCUAAUGUGGGCUAACUCUUCUGGAUUGUGACAACAUCUUGCUUCUGUGCCUUCUUGCCUUCUCUUUUCUUUUGUUUUCUUUUCUUUUCGAAGAGGUCUUAAUGUGUUCUUCUCUAUGUACACACUCAUCCCUCAUGUUGAGUCAGAUAACUAUAGAGAGAAAACCAGGACAGGUUUGUUAUGAUUGAGGUGAUAGUCAACUUGCAAGAACUGAAAAUGCUGGAGUUCCCAUGGUAGUAUUAAUGAACCCAACUAGUAUCCAUGAGGACUCAGGUUUAAUCCCUGGCUUUGUUCAAUGGGUUAAGGAUCCAGUUUUGGCAUGAGCUUUGGUGUAGAUCACAGACGCAGCUUGGAUCCCUAGUUGCUGUGGCUGUGGUGUAGCCUGACAGCUCUAAGCUCUGAUUCGAUCUCUAACCUGGGAACUUCCAUAUGGUGUGGACGCAGCCCUAAAAAGACAAAAACAACAACAAAAAAACCAAACCAAAAAAAAAAAAAAACCUGCUGCAGAGGGCAGCAGUGUGUAGCUAGAAUUAAGAGGGAAGACAAACCAGAGAGGAUGUCCUCUCUGGUUUUUCCUUAAUAUAGUAGAAAUCUGUUUAAAAUAUAAUGUAGUUUUUGACAACUGCCGUUAUUUUAAUUGUGUAUGUUUAAAAGCUAAUGCCAGAAGGAUCUUCCUUGAAUAUAAACUUUAUAGUUGUACAAAAAUUUCUCAAAUAAUAAUAGAUGCAAACUAUUGCCUUUGGAAUGGAUAAGCAAUGAGAUCCUGCUGUGUAACAUGGGGAACUAUGUCUAGUCACUUAUGAUAGAGAAUGAUAAUGUGAAAAAAAAGAAUGUAUACAUGUAUGUGUAACUGGGUCACCAUACUGUACAGUAGAAAAUUGUCAGAACACUGUAAACCAGCUAUAAUGGAAAAAAAAUCAAAAUCAUUAUACAAAAAGUUAAAAAAAAAUUUUCUCAAAUAAGAACUCUUCAUGAACCCCCUAGAUCAGAAAAUAGGUGAAGAUUUAUAGGAGUUCCUGUUGUGGCUCAGCUAUAACAAACCCAACUAGUAUACAUGAGGACUCAGGUUCAAACCCUGGUCUUGCUCAGUGGGUUAAGGAUCCCAUGUAGCCAUGAACUGUAAACUGUGGUGUGGGUUGCAGACCUGGCUCAGAUCCCACACUGCUGUGGCUGUGGUGUAGGCUGUCAGCUGCAGCUCUGAUUUGACUCCUAGCCUGGGAACUUCCAUAUGCCUUGGGGGUGGUCCUAUUGAAAAAAAAAAAAAAAAAAAAAAAAGGACAGACAAAAGAUUUAUAAGCUCCAGUAUAGAUUUUUUGAUAACUCUUGUUUUCAGGAUUGCUUUUAAUCUAUCCCUCAGUGCAACAUAGAUUAUAUUUGGAAAGAAAAGAUAUAAUGAAUAUUAUUAGUUCUCAUGAAGAGAUAACAGGCACCAUUCUAAUCACUUUACAUGUAUUCAUUUAUUUUUCACUAUGAGUCUGUAUACUUUUAAAGACCAAAUGGGGAGUUUCCGUUGUGGCUCAGUGGGUUAAGAACCUGACAUAAUGUCUGUGAGGAUGGGGGUUCGAUCUCUGGCCUCGCUCAGUGGGUUAAGGAUCCAGCAUUGCCACAAGGUUGAAAAUGAGGCUCGGAUCCUGUGUUGCCAUAGGUUGAAGAUGAGGCUCGGAUCCUGUGUUGCUGUGGCUGUGGCGUAGGCUGGCAGCUGCAGCUCUGAUUCAGCCCGUAGCCUGGGAAUGUUCAUAGUGCAGCCCUUAAAAGCAAAAAAAAAAAAAAAAAAAAAAAAAAAAA